rnacentral:rRNA from 1 species
GAUGAACGCUAGCGGCAAGCCUAACACAUGCAAGUCGAACGGUAACUUUUGGUGCUUGCACCGAAAGACGAGUGGCGAACGGGUGCGUAACGCGUAUGCAAUCUGCCUUUUACUAGGGUAUAGCCCAGAGAAAUUUGGAUUAAUCCCCUAUAAUAUCAUUUAAUCGCAUGAUUUUAUGAUUAAAGCUUCGGCGGUAAAAGAUGAGCAUGCGUCCUAUUAGUUAGUAGGUGAGGUAACGGCUCACCUAGACUCCGAUAGGUAGGGGUCCUGAGAGGGAGAUCCCCCACACUGGUACUGAGACACGGACCAGACUCCUACGGGAGGCAGCAGUGAGGAAUAUUGGACAAUGGACGAAAGUCUGAUCCAGCUAUGCCGCGUGCAGGAUGACGGCCCUAUGGGUUGUAAACUGCUUUUAUACAGGAAGAAAAACUCCGACGUGUCGGAACUUGACGGUACUGUAAGAAUAAGGAUCGGCUAACUCCGUGCCAGCCGCCGCCGUAACAC